CGCAAACUCAAAAACACAGACACUGACUGGAUAUGACAAUAAUGGAUUUGAGCUUUACCAAAGAUAUAGACAUGGACAGCAAGCUGACAGAUUUUUACUACACCUCCAGGCAAAAUGUCAGUCAGUUUCUCUCUGGUUCACUGGUGCCUAUCUCCAACGGACUACGGGGGAGAGGCAGGGUACACCCUGGACACCAGUCUAUUGCAGGGCAACACAACCGUUCACACCUAAGAGCAAUGGAGAGCAAUGAACCUAAUAGUCAUAUUUUGGAACUGUAGGAGUAGGCUGGAGUACCCGGUGAGAACCCACACACAGGGAGAACAUGCAAACUCCAUGAAGAAAGACCCGCCGCCAGGGGUCGAACCCAGGAGCUUCUUGCUGUGAGGCAACAGUGCUACCAACUGCACCACCUUGCACACAUUUCUUUAUAUUUUGAUUUUAAGGAGCCAGUGUGAUUGUUUAAAUGGGUUUUUAUCAAUAAAAAAAUUUUAAAUUUUAAAA